rnacentral:sRNA from 1 species
GCUGGGCAUGGUAGUGUAUGCCUGUAAUCCCAGCACUCUGGAGGCUGAGACAGGAGGAUCACAAGUUCAAAGCCAGCCUCAGCAACUUAGUGAGGCCCUAAGCAACUUAGCCAAGACUCUGUCUCAG